rnacentral:rRNA from 1 species
UACGGAGGGUGCGAGCGUUGUCCGGAAUCAUUGGGCGUAAAGGGCGCGUAGGUGGCCCGGUCAGUCUUGGUGAAGACGGCGGGCCGUAACCCUGCGUCGGCCAGGAUACUGCCGCGGCUCGGAGCACUGUAGAGGCAGGCGGAAUUCGGGUGUAGCGGUGGAAUGCGUAGAGAUCCGGAAGAACGACCGGUGGCGAAGGGCGGCCUGACCUGGGCAGUUUAGCUGGACACUGAGGCGCGGACACGGUGGGAGCAACAGG